UUCUCUCACCCUCGAGCUACUCUGCAGCCCUCACUAGCACUAAUAAUUGAAUUCAGCAGACACAACCAAAAAGGUGACUGAGUUACUGGAAGGUAUGGCGAGAAGCAAUGAGGUACAUUUGGUGAAAAUGGUAUUUGCAAACAUAUGCGAAAUCUGAGUUUUCAGUCGUGAUGCUAAAUCAACAACCUCGAGCGGGAGGAAAUUGACUCUACAGACACGCGCGAGCUCUUCUCAGCGUCCAAGCCUGAUGGUGAUUGCAACCGAGGCCGGUGGUGGCUGACCCGCUCCAUGAGCCUGAGGUGCGGGAGGUUCCACCGCCCCCGGCGUACGAGGGUCCCCGGUGUACUCCCUUCGUUCCAUACUGGAUUCGAGACAUCCGGCGAGGGGCAUUCAGUACCUUGUGGAUUGGGAGGGGUAUGGUCCGGAGGAGAGAUGCUGGGUUCCGGGGGAGGACGUGUUGGAUCCUUCCAUGCUGCGACAGUUCCACCGUCUCCAUCCGGAUCACCCUGCGCCUCGCCCUCUGGGUUGUCACCAAGGUUCCCGUGGCAGGGCCGAGGCUGAGCAGGUAUGCUCUUGGGGGAGUGUAGAUGUACCAGUAGGCUACUGGAGGCUCUGUGUGGCAGGAGGAGGGUGAGGGUGUCGAUCAUGAAGCUUCCCUGCUCCUUCUACUGCUCCCUCUGGUUCCUCCUGUUCUUGGGGGCCGGGUCUUUACUCCUCCUCGUACACCUCCAGGACCUCUCAGACAUGCUCCAACAGCAGAC